CGGUAAAAAAGCUCGUAGUUGGAUUUCUGUUGAGGACGACCGGUCCACACAAUGUGUGCGCAUCUGGUUCGGCCUCGGCAUCCUCUCGAAAGACGUUUCUGCGCUUGAUUGCGUGGAGCGGAUCUCGGGACUUUUACUUUGAGGAAAUUAGAGUGUUCACGGCAGGCCAUCGCCAGAAUACAUUAGCAUGGAAUAAUACUACAGGAUCUUGGUUCUAUUUUGUUGGUUUCUAGAAUUGAGAUAAUGAUUAAUAGGGACAAUUGGGGGCAUUCGUAUCAACACGUCAGAGGUGGAAUUCUUGGAUUGUGUUGCGACGAACUACUGCGAAAGCAUUUGCCAAGGAUGUUUCCAUUGAUCAAGAACGAAAGUAAGGGGAUCGAAGACGAUUAGAUACCGUCGUAGUCUUUACCAUAAACUAUGCCAACUAGAGAUGGGGCACCGUUCAUUUACGACUUGCUCCACACCUUAUGAGAUAUCAAAGUCUUUGGGUUCCGGGGGGAGUAUGGUCGCAAGGCUGAAACUUAAAGGA
rnacentral:rRNA from 1 species